CCAGAAUUCCUAGAUUUUCACAGGUGUAUUUCUCUGGCUACAGAGUAAGUGAGCUUCCCCAGGGGGUUCUGAUGAGGGACCUGUCUUGGUUACUGACCCUGAAAAGCGGUGUUCAGCCAGACCCUUUGGCCUUUGAGGUCUGUUUACUAUGGUUGGAACAAGUGGUCAGGAAGGAACAGUGUAUCAGGUUGUGCUUGCUUUUCUGGAUUUGCUUAAGUGGUUUUUAAAAAUAGAUGUUACGCAAAUAUAACAGAUUAUGCCUAACUUGGGAUAGUGGGAGCCUACUGCACCCCUGGAGAUUGGUGCAUUUCAACCAGUGUCCCAUCUUGUGUGCAGAUGAAGGAAUAGAGAUCUCUUGUCUAAUCUGAAUAUUCGGCAGCACCUGCAGUUUUCCAGGUAGGCCUUGCUGCAGGUCUUCAGGUUGUUCUGUCUGCUUGUUUUUCCCUGUUCAGUUCUUGAUACUAGUCAGACCUGGUCUGUAUCCGAAUCCCCAUGACGCAGAGCCAGUCAGCCUGGAACUGCGCUGUUUGUGUGCUCAGGUCCUGAACCAAGUGUACAGGUACAUGCCCCUUGCAUAUAACCUGCCUCAUUAUUCAGUUCUCCCACAGGUCUGGGCCACUCUUAAGACUGUGACCCUUUGAUUUGGGGCCAAGAUUUCCUUCCUAGCUCUUGCCAUUCUCUCUCCCAGGAGCUAGAUCCUGACCGAAUAGCUGUUAUCUGGGCUUCAACCAGUCCUGUGUGUCAUGAGCUUAUGAAUAUUGUUCAUUCAUUUAUUAUUUGUUGGUUUUUUUUUUUUUUUUAAUAGCAGCUUCCUUUUUUUUAUUCUUCUUUUUAGGGCUACACCUGCAGCAUAUGCAGUUCUUGAGCUAGGGGUCAAAUCAGAGCUGCAGCUGCCAGCCUAUGCCACAGCCACAGCUGCACCGGAUCCUUAACCCACUGUGCAAGGCCAGGGAUCAAAUCUGCAUCCUCACAGACACUGUGUCGGGUUCUUAACCUGCUGAGCCACAAUGGGAGCUUCCCAUUAUUUAGGGGAACAAAAUGGUGUAACCCUUGUUCUCAGAGAGUUUAGAUUCUAGUGGGGAAGAAAGAUAUUAAGCCAAUAACCAGACAAGUAAAUAUCCAGUUACAAACUGUGAUAAAUCCUAUGAUGGAUGAGAACUAAAUUCUCAGAAGAAGUAGCAGGCAGGAUCUAAUUUGGAUUGGGUGGGGGUGAGGAAAGUUCUCCCAGAGUUAGCCAAGUGAGGACGAUGAGAAAGGUGAGCAAAUGCAGGUGAAAGGUCUCAGAGGUGGCACUGAGCUUGGCCUCUUUAAUGACUUCCACAGUGGCCAGUGAGAUGAGAGCACUGAUGGCCAACCCUGACUGUGUGAGCAUCCAGUGGCUGCCAUAACUAAUCCUUGCAAACAUACGGCCUGCAACAACAGGACUUACUUUCUCAUAGAUCUGGAGGCCACAAGUACAAAAGAAUAUCCCCGGGCUAAAAUCCAGGGCAGUGCUCCUUCCAGAGGCUUGAGGAGAGCCUUGCUGUUCCAGCCGUUCUUUACUGUUACAGCUUUCGGUGGCUGCCCACAUUCCUUGGCUUGUGGCCACGGCACUCCAGAUCUUCAGAUCUCUCUCUGCUCUACCUUCAUGUCACCUUUUCUGCUGUGUUUCUCAAAUCUCCCUCUGCCUCUCUUGUAUAAGGACAACUGUGACUGUAUUUGGAGCCCACCCAAAUAAUGUAGGGGAAUCUUCCUAACUCCAGAUCCUUAAUCAUAUUAGCAAAAUCCUUUUUUUUUUUUUUUCAUAUCAGGAAACAUCUAUAGGUUUCAGGGAUUAGGACCUGAUAUCUUUGGGGGCCAUUAUUCAGCCCAUUACUCUGGAUUGCUUUAGUAAUCCCUGGAGGAACUUUUAUUUUUAUUUUUAAAAUUUUUUUACUUAUUUUUUCGCUUUGUAGGGCCAUACCCCUGGCAUAUAGAAGCUCCCAGGCUAAGGGUCGACUCAAAGCUACAGCUGCAACGCGGGAUCCGAGGUGCAACCUACACCACAGCUGAUGGCAACACCAGAUCCUUAACCCCCUGAGCAAGGCCAGGGAUCAAACCCGUAUCCUCAUGGAUGUUAAUCGGGUUCGUUAACUGCUGGGAGCUCCCCUGGAGGAGCUUUUAAAUCUGCAUCGCCCACGCUCCACCUUACAUCACUUAAAUCAGAAUCUCUCUGUGAGGCUGGGGCAUGGAUAUUUUUAAAAGCCUCCCCAGGCGAUUCUGAAACAACUGCUAGACUCUGUGGCAGAUAACGUCUGGCCUAGAGCAUGAUGAAGGAAGAGCAGGUGUAGUAACAGGCAGGAUGUCAUCACAAUUUGGACACUUCUCCUGCUUUUAACCUGAUGGGACCUGUUGGCCAUCAAUGCCGACUGAAGGAAGCCCUCGCUGAAUGGACCUCUUGGGAAGGUUUUGUGGUUUAACUUCACUGGGAGCAUCUUGGCCCUGCUUCCUUCCAUUCCUGCUUCUUCUUUGCCAUCCAUCUGACGCUGAGGUCUUGGAGCACGUGAUGCCUCAGUCUGCCCAAGUUCUAAAGACGGCAUAGAGCUUACAAGUGAGGGGGCUCAAACGUCGCUCAUACUUUGCAGGCCUCACACAGAUAGAGCUCACACAAAUACAGCUGGGCGCUCCAGAGCUGUAAGCCCAAGUCUGAAGAUACCUUUGUAAAUUUGUAGGAAAAAAACAAAACCAAACAACUAAGGUUUGAACUACAAACAACCUUAGAGGCAGGCCCAGAACUGAGGAAGCAUGUCAGAGCCUCCAGAACUCAUGACUUGUUUUAGCCGUAGAGAGGGGAUAUUUUUCCUUUCUCACUGGACCCACUUAUCUAUGAAGAUGCUGGUGUUUUUCAGUGAAUGUAUUUGGGGAAAAUGGUAAUUGGGUCUAUCAAGAUCCCUGUGUUGAUGUGCAGCUUUGGCCCUAAGGACAAACGUAGACUCGGAACCACAUAGGCUUGUCACCUGGGAGCUACGAGGAUGACCAGGGAAUGUGCUAAGAAUUUGAUUGUCUGAGAACAAGAACCAAUUUAGGGAGUUCCUCAGUAGCUAUUUGCUAGUAGAUCAGUGUUUUCAAAACCCAGUUAGAAAGUCCCAAGCCCCACUCACCCCUGGACCACUAAUAUCAGGGAAGCCAUCUUUGCUUUUACAAAUCACUGAAUUGUCUCUGGGGAGGCAAAGAGGCAAUGAUCUCUUGGGGGCUGCUGUCUUUUUUACGGUCAUCAGAUCUUGUCAUGGGCUCCAGCCACAGGGGAAUGUUGGUAACACCUGGAAAAGGGAGGGUUGUCUCUUUAAGUACUGGGAAUGUUUAACUGGAAAUCCUUUGUGGAUGGGUCCAAGAUCUGUAUAGCCUCUGUCCUUCUGAUGUGGAAUGCCUCCCUAGCACAGGGCCCCAAUUGGUCUCCUGCUCUUUGUUGCCAACAACCAUCUCAGCUUGGGCCAGACGUCAUGAAAAGAUCCAGUAACAGCAUGAUGCUUCAUGUGGGGGGUCCUUCCGUGGUCUUCCUCUUUGUAGCUACCCUCUUGUCUCCAGCAUCACUUGCACCCCAUUUUCUCCUAUCACAAUGCAAAUAUGAACUGUGUCUGUUUAUUAGUGGGUUUCCUUCGGAGUACUCUUUCAGUUUAGGGAGGCUGGGGGGGGGCAUUCUUUUCUGAAUUUUUAGUGUUGCAUAUGCUCAAUGCUCAAAGAAAGGUUUGACUUUCUGGUGGGCUCCCUUUCUGAACCUCUUUUUAAAGCUUCCUGUUGGACAUACCCUUUCUUUUCCAAAAUGGCAGUUUCGUGUCCUGUGAGACAGGAAAUGCCUUUUCUCUUGAUUGCCCCUUUUCAGUGGAAAUCUAUCACAAAGGCAAUCACAAAGAAUUCUUUCCUGCUAAGAAGUUGGGUGCUCCAGUCAUACCUGUCUUAUCUAGAAAGUGGUUCAAUUAUUUUCAUCUCUGACAAAAUGAUGAACUUCAGAGGAUUUGCCCAAGGAGAGAGGGUGGAAGGGUUGGCAUGGCUAGCUUCACUACCCUCAUGUGGAGUCAGAAACCUGAAAACAGCCUCGCUCUCAAGCAUGCAUUCCCCUCUUUGUCCGGGGAGUAACGAUGGCUGAGGCGUUGGCAUGCAGAUACUUGCAGAGUGAAAAUGGAUACACUUCCCCAGCUCCUCAUCCCUGGCCUGGAGGACAGCCUGCCAGCCGUGCAUGCAUGUUGGUUUGGCACUGAGACAAAUGUUCCCUGGAGCAUAGACUGAAACCACCAAACUGAUAUCACAGGGGACACCGGCCAAAUCCUGACCUCGCUCUCUGCAGGUGAGAGGCUGUGGAAUUAACCUGUGAUGCUCUCCGGCUCCCGCCUGGUGGGUGGUCUGGAUUUGUUUUCUUUUUCUUUUUUUUUCUUUUUAAUGCCACAUUUGAAUCUCCUUGCUCUCCCCACCCGACUGGUAUCUACCAGCCACAGAGCCACUCUGCCGGUCUUGGCUUGGGAACAGUGGGCAGUGACUUGGCUCCAAGAAAUGGGCAAACCACACGAUUUCUUCUUGCCCCUUGAGAGGGAAGGGCCACUCAUGGGCUGUUCCAGCCUCGAGCCCGGGUGGCAGGGCCCUCGGGCUGGCAUCGCUGGCAUCUGUGGUCGCGGUCUGCUCCUUUUGCGUCCCUCUCUUCCGCAUUUUUCCUCCCACCGUUCCAACUUCUCCCAUCUCCCCCCCGCCUUUUUUGUUUCCAACCCUUAUUUAUUCAGAGCUUCCAAUAUUCUAAGUUUUUCAUGAAUCCAGGGCUUUAAUUUAGCAUGUGGGGUGCUGGCGCUUCCAGCGAGCUGCUUGGGUCAUUAUUUCCAACGUGAAGGAAUAAAGAGGCAGCAGGGUGCAGUGGACAGCAUGGGGGCUGGACGCCAGAAGGCCCCGUGCUAGUCCCUGUCUUGCAUCUAAGCAGCUCUGGAACCCUGGCCGGCCUCGCCCUGGCUGCCAGGCUCAGUUUCCUCCCCAGAGGGAUGGGGAAUCGGGGCGAGAUGAUUUCUAAGGCUCGUCUCAUUCUGUGAUUCUGUGGAGCUCACUGGCCACGUGAAAUCCACAUUGGGUUGUGCCAGUGUCACUUUCCUUUGUGUUUUGAAAAACUAUAUUGUUACGAGGAUGAAUGAGGAGAUGUGAGCAGAGUCCCUAAGCUCGAUGUCUCCAACGCAGAAGACCAAGGGGAAAACCUUCCUGGAAAUCACUUUCCAGGGGCCAU
rnacentral:lncRNA from 1 species